AUUGAACGCUAGCGGGAUGCCUUACACAUGCAAGUCGAACGGAGUGGAGAACGGGUGAGUAAUGAAUCGGAACGUGACCAGCAUCGGGGGAUAACUACGCGAAAGAGUACCUAAUACCGCAUACUAUUGGCGCGGCCGUUGUCGGAUUAGCUAGAUGGUGGGGUAACGGAUAACAAAGGCGACGAACCGUAGCUGGUUUGAGAGGACGACCAGCCACAAUGGAACUGAGACACGGCCCAGACUCCUACGGGAGGCAGCAGGGGGGAAUUUUGGGCAAUGGGGGAAACCCUGAUCCAGCCAUCCCGCGUGUGCGAUGAAGGCCUUCGGGUUGUAAAGCUCUUUUGGCAGGAAAGCGGUACCUGCAGAAUAAGCACCGGCUAACCACGUGCCAGCAGCCGCGGUAAUAC
rnacentral:rRNA from 1 species